GUCAGGAGUCUGAGGGUGCUUUUUCCACACCAGGGGCCCUGCCCUCCGCUGUCUUUAGUUGGUCGGUUGCCAGGGAGACGGGCACGAGAAAAACCAGCCAAUCACCGCCGACCCAGCAACUUUUCCUUUUCCUUACUCCCGCUACCACCACCACCACCCCCGUCCCCCCUCACAAAGCUGCGCUGUGGUCCAGACAACAGUUCUAGGCUACGUAGUUCAGAACUCGUCCGGUUUUCAGUUCUUCAGGGUGAUAAGCAGACGAACCACUGACUCCCUCCAGCGCCACUAGCUAGGGCUCUUAGCCCUGUACCCCUGGCUGGCCCCCAUGUAGAGACCAGGCUGGACUAGAAUUUCUGCCUUUUACGUGCUGGGAUUACAGGUGUGUGCUACUACACCUGUAUGUAAAUAUAUUCAGGUUUGCUCGGUCCAUCAGCCUAAGGAAAUGAUGAAAUCGACCAAUUACUAAUAGGAAAUAUGUCAGAAGCUUUAAAAUUUCAUGAGAAACAUCAUGUUAAUGGGAAAGGUUUAAAGAAAAAAAUUCCCAUUGCUCGGCGACAAGCCAAAAAUAAUAAAAAAGUGCCUUACAUGUUCUCUCUACAACCAAACUCCAUUACCUGUGGGUAGUAACCCUAGGGGCACCAAAAGAAAUGACAUCUGGCAGUGGAUGUUUUCCAUUUCCCAGAAUUUGGAAAGCAAAGAUAUAUACACCAUGCAUACCAUUGACCCAUUCUCGGGGUUUCAAUGGGCAACUGCUUUAAGUUCUGAAAGGCUGACUGUGCAAUUACACACUUACUGGAAAUAAUGGCAGGGUUGGGGAUUUAGCUCAGUGGUAGAGCGCUGGCCCUGGGUUCGGUCCCCAGCUCUGAAAAAAAGAAAAAAAAAAAAAGAAAUAAUGGCAAUUAUGGGUCAGCUGCACCAAUUAAAACUGAGAGUGCUCCCGCGUACGUAUCCGAUAAGAUGAAGCAGUUCUCUGCAACCGUAAGAUAUAGCACGAUACCACACAAUCCCACAGGACAAGCCGAAAGAGCCAAUCACACCUUAAAAGAGAUGCUGAGUAAACAAAAAGAGAGAAUGAAAACCGCCAGGGACAGACUAACACUCAACUUUCUUACUGUUGGCGAGAAAGGGAGCUACAGCCGCUGAGAGACACUGCGUUAUCAAAAAACUGAGCAACCGGUCCAACCAAUAUACUAUAAGGAUGUGUUGACAUUAGAAUGGAGACCUGCAAUGGUUUUUAAGAUGGGGACGUGGUUUAUGCUUAUGUAUGUACAGGGAAUGAAAAAAAAAUGUCAAUACCAAGAAAACUUACAAGGAUUAGAUCGGACCAACAAAACUUAUAAAAAUCAGAUCUGACCAGGGAAAACCUCUUAUCACCGGAGACAAGGAUGUCUCCACAAAGCAAACAGCCCAAAUAAUUCUCAGACUGUCUCAAUUACUGACUUCUUCAGAAAACGCAUGCAAAUCAACUUCAAAGGGCUGGGCCAGGUGAUCCGUCAUGAAGAGCCGGACAGACAGACAAUGCAGAGACUGAGUAAUAAAGGCUGCACUUAGCUUUUUUCGGACUAACCAUUUUCUGGAUAAUUUUGCUUGCUUUACGUGCUAUGAUUGCUGUCAUCUAGGGUUUUAGGUUGUUUUGCUUAAUUAUUGUUUAUUGAUAAAAAUGUAAGUUUUUGUUUAAUUAGUGUAUAUUAGAAUUAUUCUAUGUUGAUAUUAAUAGAAAUUUAAGUUAUUUUUCUUUAAUUAGUGUAUAUUGAUAGAAAUUUAAGGUUGUUUUACUAGACUAUUGUUUCACUAUAUUGUACAUAAGCCACUUAUUUAAAAUGUGAUGGUUCUUAUAAUUAUUUCUAGUGCGUAUAGACUGCUAAUGUUAGCGAAGCGGACAAUUCUUAGACAGAAAGGGGGAUAUGAAGUGGAAACUUAAGGAUUCUUUGGAAAGCCAGUUGGAUGACGUUUCACUGGGGCAAACUCACGAAGGAACGUUUCACUGACGCAGACGCAGGAGCUCGGAUGUUCUGCUAAAGCAGCACGGGGCAGGACGAGUGAGGAAGGAUUCUUUGCUAAGGACUCGCAUGUGUUGCUCCACCUUGCACUGUGUAGUUGAGCUGCAUUUGUCAGGACUCCAGAGAGAGAAAUGCAUCAGACAACGUCUGGUGGUGUGCUGCAGUUUCUUGCUGCUUCCGAAGACUGGGGUUCAUUGGAUGCACAUGCUGAGGCAAAACCCACGUUGAGAAAAGUCACAUGGAGGACACAUGAUGUUUGGAGGGUAUAAAUAGGACUUUGUGGAGUGACAGAAGCAGAACUUGGCUUGCUGUACAGCCAGUUGUGCCAUGCUUGUGGGUGUCUCAUCUUUGCUGAUCUUCACAUCCCUGAGAGAGGCACAGCCGAGAACUUCUCCUGGUGUUCUGUUGGUCUCUCCUGGAGCUGAGGCUGAGGCCUGGCUGUCUCUGCUAGGUCGUGUCACUGCUGCUGCUGACCUGACACUACAGAAAUGGAGCUGGUGUAUCUGUGAGGUGUUUGCGAGUGGAUCGAGCUGCCGCUGCCUGCUCACCUGUGAACUGAACUGCCAAUUUCCAGACAGCACAGACGGAAGUUGUUCCAAAGGACCUCUCUAAACAGGUCCAUUCCACCUCCCCCCAGCCCAGUAUUCUCUCUUUUUCAACUACCUCUGGUGGGUAGUGGGCUAAAGGGAGGUUAAAAUGUUUAAGAACCAUCAUAAAAAAAUAAGGUUUGAAAACAUUUAAAGUUACAAAGCAG
rnacentral:lncRNA from 1 species